UGGUUUUUCCUAAUCACUUUUCCUUUCUCUUCUUCCAUCAGUAGUUUUAUAUAUUCUUCAAUAACCUCUCUUCUAACUAUCCCUUUUUCGUCUUGUUUGGCUCUAAUACCCAUGUCCCAAACAUCUUGCACAAGCUUUGCAGUACACAAGAAGUCACUUUGAGCUAAUUAAUCCACGUUGACACAUUGUCGAAUGUAUCAAAUGUGAAACUCGUCAGUAUAUGAAUGCUCUAAAUGACAACUACAAGUUCAACACUUCAAGUUAUCACCUCAAUCAAGGAAAUGAAGAGAUUGACAGGCUUUACAUAUUAAUUAGUACCCAAGGAAGGAAUGGAUCAUAAACUAUGCAAUUCACAGGGCACUCACAAUUUGUCAAUUUUUGAAUAAGCUGAGUCAGAGUAUCCGAGCCAACUUCUUUGAAUCGCGUUAUGUAGGCCAAGAAAGAUUCUGCUUGGUCGAUGCCACCAUCGUCAUAUCCAUCGGAUAUGGCCUCGAUUGACACUGAAGUUGGUAAUUCUUGCAUGGUUUUCAAGAAUGAUUUUGUUGGUGCUAUAGUGAUUUUGACACC